UGCCAGCCGCCGCGGUAAGACGAACCGUCCGAACGUUAUUCGGUAUCACUGGGCUUAAAGAGUUCGUAGGCGGUCGUGUAGGUCAGGUGUGAAAUCCCACAGCUCAACUGUGGAACUGCGCUUGAAACCCCACGACUUGAGGGAGAUAGAGGUGAGCGGAACAGAUGGUGGAGCGGUGAAAUGCGUUGAUAUCAUCUGGAACACCGGUGGCGAAAGCGGCUCACUGGAUCUCUUCUGACGCUGAGGAACGAAAGCUAGGGUAGCGAACGGGAUUAGAUA
rnacentral:rRNA from 1 species